rnacentral:rRNA from 1 species
GAUGAACGCUGGCGGCGUGCUUAACACAUGCAAGUCGAACGGAAAGGCACCUGCUUGCUGGGGUACUCGAGUGGCGAACGGGUGAGUAACACGUGGGUGAUCUGCCCUGCACUUCGGGAUAAGCCUGGGAAACUGGGCCUAAUACCGGAUAGGACCACAUUUUGGAUGGUGAGGUGGACAGCUUUUCGGUGUGGGAUGAGCUCGCGGCCUAUCAGCUUGUUGGUGGGGUAAUGGCCUACCAAGGCGUCGACGGUGAGCCGGCCUGAGAGGGUGUAGGGACACACUAGGACUGUGAUAGGGCCCAGAGUCCUACGUGAUGCAGCAGUGGGGAAUAUUGCACAAUGGGCGAAAGCGUGAUGCAGCGAGGCCGCGUGGGGGAUGAGGGCCUUCGGGGUGUAAACUCCUCUCGCUAGGGAUGAAGCGUUUUUGUGACGGUACCUGGAGAAGAAGCACCGGCUAACUACGUG